rnacentral:rRNA from 1 species
GACGAACGCUGGCGGCGUGCUUAACACAUGCAAGUCGAACGGAAAGGCCCUGCUUUUGUGGGGUGCUCGAGUGGCGAACGGGUGAGUAACACGUGAGUAACCUGCCCUUGACUUUGGGAUAACUUCAGGAAACUGGGGCUAAUACCGGAUAGGAGCUCCUGCUGCAUGGUGGGGGUUGGAAAGUUUCGGCGGUUGGGGAUGGACUCGCGGCUUAUCAGCUUGUUGGUGGGGUAGUGGCUUACCAAGGCUUUCACGGGUAGCCGGCCUGAGAGGGUGACCGGCCACAUUGGGACUGAGAUACGGCCCAGACUCCUACGGGAGGCAGCAGUGGGGAAUAUUGCACAAUGGGCGGAAGCCUGAUGCAGCAACGCCGCGUGCGGGAUGACGGCCUUCGGGUUGUAAACCGCUUUCGCCUGUGACGAAGCGUGAGUGACGGUAAUGGGUAAAGAAGCACCGGCUAACUACGGG